rnacentral:rRNA from 1 species
UACGGAGGGGGCUAGCGUUGUUCGGAAUUACUGGGCGUAAAGCGCACGUAGGCGGCUUUGUAAGUUAGAGGUGAAAGCCCAGGGCUUAACUCUGGAAUUGCCUUUAAGACUGCAUCGCUAGAAUCGUGGAGAGGUGAGUGGAAUUCCGAGUGUAGAGGUGAAAUUCGUAGAUAUUCGGAAGAACACCAGUGGCGAAGGCGACUCACUGGACACGUAUUGACGCUGAGGUGCGAAAGCGUGGGGAGCAAACA